UACGUAGGGGGCAAGCGUUGUCCGGAAUCAUUGGGCGUAAAGAGCGUGUAGGCGGCCCGAUAAGUCCGCUGUGAAAGUCCAGGGCUCAACCCUGGGAUGCCGGUGGAUACUGUCGGGCUCGAGUCCGGAAGAGGAGUGUGGAAUUCCUGGUGUAGCGGUGAAAUGCGCAGAUAUCAGGAGGAACACCAAUGGCGAAGGCAGCUCGCUGGAACGGUACUGACGCUGAGGCGCGAAAGCGUGGGGAGCGAACAGG
rnacentral:rRNA from 1 species